GAAGUACUCCCUCCGUCCGAAAAUACUUGUCAUCAAAAUAGAUGAAAAUGAAUGUAUCUAGAUACAUCCAUUUUGAUGACAAGUAAAUCCGGACGGAGGGAGUAUAAG
rnacentral:pre_miRNA from 1 species